AACGAACGCUGGCGGCAUGCCUAACACAUGCCAGUCGAACGAGACCUUCGGGUCUAGUGGCGCACGGGUGCGUAACGCGUGGGAACCUGCCCUUAGGUUCGGAAUAACUCCCCGAAAGGGGUGCUAAUACCGGAUAAUGUCUUCGGACCAAAGAUUUAUCGCCUUUGGAUGGGCCCGCGUUGGAUUAGCUAGUUGGUAGGGUAAAAGCCUACCAAGGCGACGAUCCAUAGCUGGUCUGAGAGGAUGAUCAGCCACACUGGGACUGAGACACGGCCCAGACUCCUACGGGAGGCAGCAGUGGGGAAUAUUGGACAAGGGGCGAAAGCCUGAUCCAGCAAUGCCGCGUGAGUGAUGAAGGCCUUAGGGUUGUAAAGCUCUUUUACCCGGGAUGAUAAUGACAGUACCGGGAGAAUAAGCGCCGGCUAACUCCGUG
rnacentral:rRNA from 1 species